rnacentral:tRNA from 1 species
ACCUGGCUGGCUCAGUUGGUAGAGCACUUGACUCUUGAUCUCAGGGUCAUGAGUUCAAGCCCCAUGCUGGGUG